UGAACGUGCUCAGAGGAGGAGGAUGGUUUAAAGUGUCCUGCAUCAACUCUGCUGCUUUAUUUCCAGCACUAAGUGUCCAGGGUCCCUGCAGCACCGCGUGCAUCGAUCUGCAACGCCUGCCAGGUCCCAUCUGAAAGAAGAGAGUGUGCGAGAGUGCAUGUGUGUCUGUGUAUGUGCACGUGUGUUUAUAUGCAGCACCAUGAAGCACCAGUCUAUCUCCCGAUGGUUGAGCCAGCUGGGACUGCCGCAGUACUGCACAGCCCUGGAGCAGGAAUAUGAUGGUGUAGAGGACCUGCUCCACCUCUCAGAGUACGACCUGCUGGAGCUCGGAGUCCACAAUCACCUGCACCGC